GCAGUGCUUUCCUUGAAUCUAUCUUCCAAGACUGUUGCAUCUGGACGUGACGAGGGUGAUGAAUUCAUGGAAGUGGAAGGAACAGGAGAGGAAGACAUCUGGCAAUGGUCAUGACAGUUGUCCGUCAGGAAUCUACAGGUGGUGAGCAUGCGUAAGGAAUUGACAUAUCUCAGUACAACUUAGACCUGCCUGUUGCACAUGAGAUGUGUGACUCUACUUACACACAUAAGCUUCUGCAGGUUCGAUGCAUGUAUAUUUUGAAACAUGAAAGACAGAGUGCUAAAAAUAUAUCUGAGGUGAAAAAUUGAGCAGUUCACUGCAGUAAUUCUAUAGAUUUAUUUUCAGCAUUUUGGGAAAAAUAUAGUGAUGGCAAGAUUACCUGUGUUGUACUGCCAGACCAUCCGCCGUUGGAGUUCCAUGUCCCAGUUAUUAUAUAUAAUAGCUGUUUGAGGUUAUUACAUAUUUAUUAUGCAAGUUUUGUACCUGUGAGUUCUUGUAAAUGUGCUCUGCGGUGAUCAUACUGGACAGAGAGCUAUGCCUGUAUAAUAACAGUGACUAAUGUUCUCCUGCCCAUAAACCUAUUCCUAGGGUACAUCUGCACCCUUGGAAGUCACUGGAGAGGCGUGUUAGCUUAGCUCAAUUGGUAAGGGCCCUG